AACCUGCCCUGGACUUUGGGAUAACCCUCGGAAACGGGGGCUAAUACCGAAUAUCCACGCAUUAUCGCAUGGUGGUGUGUGGAAAGUUUUUCGGUCUGGGAUGGACUCGCGGCCUAUCAGCUUGUUGGUGGGGUAAUGGCCUACCAAGGCGACGACGGGUAGCCGGCCUGAGAGGGCGACCGGCCACACUGGGACUGAGACACGGCCCAGACUCCUACGGGAGGCAGCAGUGGGGAAUAUUGCACAAUGGGCGGAAGCCUGAUGCAGCGACGCCGCGUGAGGGAUGACGGCCUUCGGGUUGUAAACCUCUUUCAGCAGGGACGAAGCGCAAGUGACGGUACCUGCAGAAGAAGCGCCGGCCAACUACGUGCCAGCAGCCGCGGUAAGACGUAGGGCGCGAGCGUUGUCCGGAUUUAUUGGGCGUAAAGAGCUCGUAGGCGGCUUGUCGCGUCGGCUGUGAAAACCCGUGGCUCAACUGCGGGCUUGCAGCCGAUACGGGCAGGCUAGAGUUCGGUAGGGGAGACUGGAAUUCCUGGUGUAGCGGUGAAAUGCGCAGAUAUCAGGAGGAACACCGGUGGCGAAGGCGGGUCUCUGGGCCGAUACUGACGCUGAGGAGCGAAAGCGUGGGGAGCGAACAGGAUUAGAUACCCUGGUAGUCCACGCUGUAAACGUUGGGCGCUAGGUGUGGGGGACCUCUCCGGUUCUCUGUGCCGCAGCUAACGCAUUAAGCGCCCCGCCUGGGGAGUACGGCCGCAAGGCUAAAACUCAAAGGAAUGACGGGGGCCCGCACAAGCGGCGGAGCAUGCGGAUAAUCGAUGCAACGCGAAGAACUUACCUGGGUUUGACAUCACCCGCAAACU
rnacentral:rRNA from 1 species